rnacentral:rRNA from 1 species
AGAGUUUGAUCCCUGGCUCAGGACGAACGCUGGCGGCGUGCUUAACACAUGCAAGUCGAGCGGUAAGGCCUUUCGGGGUACACGAGCGGCGAACGGGUGAGUAACACGUGGGUGAUCUGCCCUGCACUCUGGGAUAAGCUUGGGAAACUGGGUCUAAUACCGGAUAUGACCGCAUCCCGCAUGGUGUGUGGUGGAAAGAUUUAUCGGUGCAGGAUGGGCCCGCGGCCUAUCAGCUUGUUGGUGGGGUAAUGGCCUACCAAGGCGACGACGGGUAGCCGACCUGAGAGGGUGACCGGCCACACUGGGACUGAGACACGGCCCAGACUCCUACGGGAGGCAGCAGUGGGGAAUAUUGCACAAUGGGCGGAAGCCUGAUGCAGCGACGCCGCGUGAGGGAUGAAGGCCUUCGGGUUGUAAACCUCUUUCAGCAGGGACGAAGCGUGAGUGACGGUACCUGCAGAAGAAGCACCGGCUAACUAC